AAUCUUGCGCAAUGGGCGAAAGCCUGACGCAGCCAUGCCGCGUGAAUGAUGAAGGUCUUAGGAUUGUAAAAUUCUUUAUCCGGGGACGAUAAGGACGGUUCUCUGAGAAGUAGACACGGCUAACUUCGCGACAGCAGCCGCGGUAAUACGAAGGGGGCUCGCGUUACGCGGAAUUACUGGGCGUAAAGGGCGCGUAGGCGGACAUUUAAGUCAGGGGUGAAAUCCCAGAGCUCAACUCUGGAACUGCCUUUGAUACUGGGUGUCUUGAGUGUGAGAGAGGUAUGUGGAACUCCGAGUGUAGAAGUGAAAUUCGUAGAUAUUCGGAAGAACACCAGUGGCGAAGGCGACAUACUGGCUCAUUACUGACGCUGAGGCGCGAAAGCGUGGGGAGCAAACA
rnacentral:rRNA from 1 species